rnacentral:rRNA from 1 species
UACAGAGGUUGCAAGCGUUGUUCGGAAUUACUGGGCGUAAAGGGCGCGUAGGCGGCCAUCUAAGUCAGACGUGAAAUCCCCCGGCUUAACCUGGGAACUGCGUCUGAUACUGGACGGCUUGAGUAUGGGAGAGGGAUGUAGAAUUCCAGGUGUAGCGGUGAAAUGCGUAGAUAUCUGGAGGAAUACCGGUGGCGAAGGCGGCAUCCUGGACCAUUACUGACGCUGAGGCGCGAAAGCUAGGGGAGCAAACGGG